GGGUGCAUGGGAUGAUUUAUCUUACCGCCCCAGUCUGAUAAUACAUGACUGAGUGGUAUAUUCUGAGCACUA